CCGUGUUUAGCUCAGUUGGUCAGAGCGCUCAGCUUAUACCUAAGUGGUCGGGGGUUCAAGUCCCUCAACACGGA
rnacentral:tRNA from 1 species